UGCCAGCCGCCGCGGUAACACAGAGGGUGCAAACGUUGCUCGGAAUCACUGGGCGUAAAGCGCGUGUAGGCGGACUCGCAAGUCGGGUGUGAAAUCCCUGGGCUCAACCCAGGAACUGCAUCCGAAACUGCGAGUCUUGAGUGUCGGAGAGGGAAGCGGAAUUCCGGGUGUAGAGGUGAAAUUCGUAGAUAUCCGGAGGAACACCGGUGGCGAAGGCGGCUUCCUGGACGACUACUGACGCUGAGACGCGAAAGCGUGGGGAGCAAACAGGAUUAGAUA
rnacentral:rRNA from 1 species